CAACCCCUCAGCGCAAGCUGGUUUUGAGCCGGUUGGCCGUGAAAAGCCCACCGGUUUUAAAGUUGUAAGCUCUGCUGGCUGCUAACGCCUAACCGAAAACAUGGUAAAAUUUUGCUUGUUUAAAGGUGAAGCAUGUGGACCGGCCUGAACAAAACCUACCAUCUUCAAG
rnacentral:misc_RNA from 1 species